UACGUAGGGUGCAAGCGUUGUCCGGAAUUAUUGGGCGUAAAGAGCUCGUAGGCGGUUUGUUGCGUCGGCUGUGAAAUCCCGAGGCUCAACCUCGGGUCUGCAGUCGAUACGAGCAAACUAGAGUGUUGCAGGGGAGACUGGAAUUCCUGGUGAUAGCGGUGAAAUGCGCAGAUAUCAGGAGGAACACCGGUGGCGAAAGCGCUCUGCUAGCCGCAACUGACACUGAGAGACGAAAGCUAGGGGAGCGAAUGGG
rnacentral:rRNA from 1 species